rnacentral:tRNA from 1 species
AGGAUAAUAGUUAAUAAUAACAUUUAAUUUGCAUUUAAAAAUUACUGUCUCAGUUUAUCUU